rnacentral:rRNA from 1 species
UAAAAAAAAAAAUGGGGGGGGCCGGGGGGGGUUUUUUCCCUUGGGUGGGGGGGGGGGGGGGGGAAAACCGGGGGGAACCCCCCCUUAAAGCGGGGAAAAUUCCGGGAAACCGGGGUUAAUCCCGGAUGUUUGAUGGACCCCCAGGUUCAAUCAUAAAAGGGGCUUUUAGCUACCCUUCCCGAUGGACCCGGGGGCCUUAGCUAGUUGGUGAGGUAACGGUUCACCAAGGCGACGAUGCGUAGCCGACCUGAGAGGGUGAUCGGCCACACUGGGACUGAGACACGGCCCAGACUCCUACGGGAGGCAGCAGUAGGGAAUCUUCCGCAAUGGACGAAAGUCUGACGGAGCAACGCCGCGUGAGUGAUGAAGGUUUUCGGAUCGUAAAACUCUGUUGUUAGGGAAGAACAAGUACCGUUCGAAUAGGGCGGUACCUUGACGGUACCUAACCAGAAAGCCACGGCUAACUACGUGCCAGCAGCCGCGGUAAUACGUAGGUGGCAAGCGUUGUCCGGAAUUAUUGGGCGUAAAGCGCGCGCAGGCGGUUUCUUAAGUCUGAUGUGAAAGCCCCCGGCUCAACCGGGGAGGGUCAUUGGAAACUGGGGAACUUGAGUGCAGAAGAGGAGAGUGGAAUUCCACGUGUAGCGGUGAAAUGCGUAGAGAUGUGGAGGAACACCAGUGGCGAAGGCGACUCUCUGGUCUGUAACUGACGCUGAGGCGCGAAAGCGUGGGGAGCGAACAGGAUUAGAUACCCUGGUAGUCCACGCCGUAAACGAUGAGUGCUAAGUGUUAGAGGGUUUCCGCCCUUUAGUGCUGCAGCAAACGCAUUAAGCACUCCGCCUGGGGAGUACGGUCGCAAGACUGAAACUCAAAGGAAUUGACGGGGGCCCGCACAAGCGGUGGAGCAUGUGGUUUAAUUCGAAGCAACGCGAAGAACCUUACCAGGUCUUGACAUCCUCUGACAACCCUAGAGAUAGGGCUUCCCCUUCGGGGGCAGAGUGACAGGUGGUGCAUGGUUGUCGUCAGCUCGUGUCGUGAGAUGUUGGGUUAAGUCCCGCAACGAGCGCAACCCUUGAUCUUAGUUGCCAGCAUUCAGUUGGGCACUCUAAGGUGACUGCCGGUGACAAACCGGAGGAAGGUGGGGAUGACGUCAAAUCAUCAUGCCCCUUAUGACCUGGGCUACACACGUGCUACAAUGGGCAGAACAAUUUAAAGAGCCGCGAGGCUAAGCCAAUAACACAAAUCCUUAAGGGGAUCGCAGUCUGCAACUCGACUGCGUGAAGCUGGAAUCGCUAGUAUCGCAGGAUCAUCAUUUAUUCCCC